rnacentral:rRNA from 1 species
AGAGCGAACGCUGGCGGCAGGCCUAAUACAUGCAAGUCGAACGGAUCCUUCGGGAUUAGUGGCGGACGGGUGAGUAACACGUGGGAACGUGCCCUUUGGUUCGGAACAACUCAGGGAAACUUGAGCUAAUACCGGAUGUGCCCUUCGGGGGAAAGAUUUAUCGCCAUUGGAGCGGCCCGCGUCUGAUUAGCUAGUUGGUGGGGUAAAGGCCCACCAAGGCGACGAUCAGUAGCUGGUCUGAGAGGAUGAUCAGCCACACUGGGACUGAGACACGGCCCAGACUCCUACGGGAGGCAGCAGUAGGGAAUCUUGCGCAAUGGGCGAAAGCCUGACGCAGCCAUGCCGCGUGAAUGAUGAAGGUCUUAGGAUUGUAAAAUUCUUUCAGCGGGGACGAUAAUGACGGUACCGCAGAAGAAGCCCCGGCUAACUUCGCGCCAGCAGCCGC